AAAGCAACCCCAAAGAAACACUCGCAAUUCAGUGCCGACGUGGCCGAGGCCAUUGCCUUCUUUGACUCCAUCAUUGCAGAGCUGGAUACAGAGAGACGGCCCCGGGCUGCCGAGGCCAGCCUGCCAAAUGAAGAUGUGGACUUUGACGUGGCCACCAGCUCCAGGGAGCACAGCUUGCAUUCUAACUGGAUCCUGCGGGCGCCACGCAGACACUCUGAGGAUAUCACUGCCCACACUGUGCAUACUGUAGACGGCCAGUUUCGAAGGAGCACCGAGUGCAGGACCGUGGGCACUCAGAGGAGACUCGAGAGGCACCCCAUUUAUUUGCCCAAGGCUGUGGAAGGGGCCUUCAACACCUGGAAAUUUAAGCCCAAAGCCUGCAAACAAGACCUGGGGAGCCCCAGACAGAUCCUUUUCAACUUCUCAGGAGAAGAUAUGGAGUGGGAUGCAGAGCUUUUUGCGUUGGAGUCCCAGCUGUCUCCUGGGGAGAACUACUAUGAGACAGAGAACCCCAAAGGACAGUGGCUGCUUCGAGAAAGACUUUGGGAGCGGACAGUGCCCUGACUCCAUCUGGAUUCCUUGACGUGUCUC
rnacentral:sRNA from 1 species